AAAUCCUGCUAUCUACGUAGUAAAAUUGGAAGGAAGAUGAAUGCUCCUCCGCCGUGAAGAACUCGUCGGCACCUCCUUCCGAGAACGGCUCCGCCACUGAUCGGACUAACCUAAAUCCGUCCCCUCACUCUAACUCUACCCACUACUCAAUAGGCACAUACAUUGAAGAUUGAAGAGAUGUGGAAAAACAUUGUAUUAAAUUUAUUGGUGGGCGUGAAGCAUUGGAUCCCAAAUGAAAAGAACUCGAAAAUGCAAGAGGCACCGAUAUUAUCUUGAAUGGAUCAGUAUCUGGUGGGAGACUGCCUGAGAAGCUCCAUCAAAGGCCGUUUACAUGCCCGAUGGAUGAUCGCCACUCAAGUUACAGAAGGAAAAUUGUUCGAUUGUCCCUUUGGCCACUGCAAAAAACAGUUUACAAUUCUGAGUAAUAUGACACGUCAUGUGAACGAGUUCCACGAUGAAUCUGUUUGUGAUGAUUGUAAAAGAUCUAAAUGUAUGCGUUACUCGAAUUUCUAGAAUAUAGACUCAUGACAUUCAGUAAAGAACUAAAAGGGUACCGAACAAAAUAAUAUCAAAAGAAAAAACGCA